rnacentral:lncRNA from 1 species
CUUUCGCUAAACUGUCGUGGAAAUAAUUUCCAAAGAGCGUUAGAGACCAGCGACAGCCGUUAGGACAGGGGCGUCCCCACCGGCGCGUCCCCGUCGGCCGAGAGGCCGUGGCGCGCCCCGGGGCCGCGUGUCCCCAGCUCCGCACGGCGCCGCCGGCGCUCGGUGUGGGCGCUCGCCCGGGAUGGAAGCGUCCGGGCCCCAACCACGGCCACAACCCUCCUCCAGACCCAGUUCCCGGAUCCGCAACACAGAGACUGAGUCAACACAGUCGGUCCUGGUAAAGUUGGGGAGGGAGAAUGAUCCCACUGCCGACUCCGGAAAGUCGGCCAGCUGCGGAGGGGGAAGGAGCUCAGCUCGGGUUGGCGCGCCCACUUCCAAGGAACCCCCCGCUCCCCGGACGCGUUCAGUGCGGCCGCAAACGGAACCGGGCGGCGGCCCACGCGAAGAGGCGCCGCAGCGGAGUCAGUAGUCAAAAGCUGGCCCUCAGCCCUCGGAAAAGGUGAAAUCCCCCACUUCCCUCCUCUCAGGCGGGCUUCGCCGCGGUCCGGCACACCUAGCCGCCGCCCCACAGUCCCACCCUCGUCCUCCCUCCCGCCACGAUCGCCGAGACUUUAGGACCGCGCGGAAGCCGCCGAGAGGGAGGCGGCCGAAUAGCAGUUGGGCGUGGCUUCUCGGAGAGAGGCGGCCCCUGGGGGCGGGGAGAGCUACGCAACCGUCGGCUCGGGCGGCUGAUUGGCUAAGUGCCUGCGCGGAGCCCGCAAGCGUCUCCGCCCAGCCCGGCCGCUCCUCCUCUUCUCCGCUCCGUCCGGCCCCGGCUCGCGAGGGAAGCGCUCAGGCGCCGCCGCCCCAGCCCAGUGCGGACGACAGGAGAGAGGCAGGCGGAAGGAGGACGCGCUCGCUCGCUUGCUCCCACCCGCACCCGGGUUCCCCGAGCCGGCGCGGCGCCCAGGGGGAGGAGCCGCCGCGGGCACGCCCCGCCUCCGGCCGGGGAAGACUACGCCAGCGACCCAGGCGGCCGGCCACCGCCCCCUUCGCCGGCCGAGACCCGCCCCUGGCCCCGGCCCUCCCCCGGCGGCAUGGAGGGGCCUCGCUCCUGACUGCUGCGCCGCCGCCUCGGCCCCGCCCCCC